AACGAACGCUGGCGGCAGGCUUAACACAUGCAAGUCGAGCGCCCCGCAAGGGGAGCGGCAGACGGGUGAGUAACGCGUGGGAAUCUACCCAUCUCUACGGAAUAACGCAUGGAAACGUGUGCUAAUACCGGAUACGUCCUUCGGGAGAAAGAUUUAUCGGAGAUGGAUGAGCCCGCGUUGGAUUAGCUAGUAGGUGGGGUAAAGGCCUACCAAGGCGACGAUCCAUAGCUGGUCUGAGAGGAUGAUCAGCCACACUGGGACUGAGACACGGCCCUGACUCCUACGGGAGGCAGCAGUGGGGAAUAUUGGACAAUGGGCGCAAGCCUGAUCCAGCCAUGCCGCGUGAGUGAUGAAGGCCCUAGGGUUGUAAAGCUCUUUCACCGGUGAAGAUAAUGACGGUAACCGGAGAAGAAGCCCCGGCUAACUUCGUGCCAGCAGCCGCCGUAACAC
rnacentral:rRNA from 1 species